UACGUAGGGUGCAAGCGUUGUCCGGAAUUAUUGGGCGUAAAGAGCUCGUAGGCGGUCUGUCACGUCGGCUGUGAAAACCCGAGGCUCAACCCCGGGUCUGCAGUCGAUACGGGCAGGCUAGAGUUCGGUAGGGGAGAUCGGAAUUCCUGGUGUAGCGGUGAAAUGCGCAGAUAUCAGGAGGAACACCGGUGGCGAAGGCGGAUCUCUGGGCCGAUACUGACGCUGAGGAGCGAAAGCGUGGGGAGCGAACAGG
rnacentral:rRNA from 1 species